rnacentral:rRNA from 1 species
AAUCAACGCUGGCGGCGUGCCUAACACAUGCAAGUCGAACGCGAAAGCCCCGCAAGGGGUCAGUAGAGUGGCAAACGGGUGAGUAACACGUGGGUGACCUGCCUCAGAGUGGGGGGUAACGACCCGAAAGGGUCGCUAAUACCGCAUAACAUCCUGCCUUUGGAUAGGCGGAGAUCAAAACCGGGGAUCGCAAGACCUGGCGCUUGGAGAGGGGCCCGCGGCCGAUUAGCUAGUUGGUGAGGUAACGGCUCACCAAGGCAACGAUCGGUAUCCGGCCUGAGAGGGCGGACGGACACACUGGGACUGAGACACGGCCCAGGCUCCUACGGGAGGCAGCAGUGGGGAAUAUUGGACAAUGGGGGGAACCCUGAUCCAGCCAUGCCGCGUGUGUGAAGAAGGCCUUAUGGUUGUAAAGCACUUUAAGCGAGGAGGAGGCUACUGAGACUAAUACUCUUGGAUAGUGGACGUUACUCGCAGAAUAAGCACCGGCUAACUCUGUGCCAGCAGCCGCGGUAAUAC